UCGCUGCGCGCAAAGCAAUUCAAAUUAGUCCGCCGCGAGGCUUGCUGAAGGAAGGACGUAUCGCUCCGUGCUGCGCAUGACCUUUGUUGACCCUUGUCGCGCAUACCAGACUGGUGAACAUUUAUAGCGCGAUCGAAAAAUCUUGGUUCUUUGGUAAGAAAAAUAUUUUAUUUUGUUGAACUAAUGGGAAACAAAAUGAAGAUGUUUUUAGCAAAGAAAAGAAAACGCAAAAAUGUAGAAAAUUUGGAAAGUUUGGAAAAGGCAAGAGAGGCCAAAAUGUUGCUAUAAUUAUCACUGUUAUCCUUACUUCAACUUAUUUUUUCAUUUAAUUACUUACUUAGUCUUACAAAUAACAUGUUUUGUGUGCUUUCUGUUUGUAUUUCAGGCAAUAUAAAAGUAAAUCAACUGAAGAAACAAUAACGGAAAAAGAUGAAUGUGAAAACCAACACGCAGAAAAGAGAAAAGAACGACCAACAACUAUGGAGUUUUGGCCGCGAUUACUUAAGGAGGUAUCCAGUUCUGA